CUCUCUGUGUCCGUACUGUAACUCUGGGCUGAGUGGCUCACUACUUGCUGUGUCCUCAGACUGAUUGAUCAGGCUUGCAAAAGGGAGGAGAGACGGAGAGGAGGGGGAGACGACUCCGGUAGCAGGCAGGCAGGGAGGCAGGCAGCUGGCUGGGUGUGUUAACUCCACAUCUGACCUCUAUGGGAACAGAGCUGCCUCCUCUCCUCUCCAAGCAGACUGUGGGAACCAGGGGGACAGAGUUUUUACCCUCCCUCCCCACCACCACCACCACCACCUCUGCUUCUUGCAGGGCCGUCUCGCUCAGAGAACUGGCGCUGGACAGACCGGGACAUGACAGGACAAGACAGCUCUGGCAGCCAAGACCUCUGAGGAUUUCCACUGCAGAAGGAGUUUUGGAGCCGCCUCCGUCACUCAGACAGCCAGGCGGCUUUCUUGUCUGUUAUUAGCCAGAUUUUUUUAGUCGGUCGGCCAGUAUAAAUCGGUCUCUGGGGGUCUUCCGCUCUCUGAAUAUCCUCACCCGAACUCUGAUGUGACUCAGGCUCCGUCAUGGACCACCAGGAGACCACCAGAGGGGACGGUCACAGGUGCUCCACAUCUGCUGCAGAAGAGAAGCAUCUGGAGUCCAAAAGCGAUGUAACAGUGCGGAGGGCGGUAAAGGGCAGAGAGGUGGAGAUCGGGCCUCUGGUGUAGCUGUUUAGGGGAGGGUUCCUGGCACCGUGAUUUGAUGAACAAAGAGAAACAAAAAUCACAUUGCCAGGGAUUUCCACUCCUUCACAGCUCAGCAGGAACCCUGACGCGGCCACGCAUUUCCACUCCUGGCUGCGUCGGUUCUCAGCCGGGAUUCUGGAGCUCUUGAAGGAUUUAAACAGAAAGUGUAUCAACCAUCUCAGCAGACCUCUAAAAGGGCUGAUUGCCCUUUUUUUUGUGUGUGUGUGUGUUUAAGGCUGCAGCUGUUUGAAAUUUAUACUUUCCUCACCAGUCUCCCCUCUAAUGUGCCAGGAAAUGGAUGUAAAUGCAAGCCAGAGCCACACAGGACAAGGUUUAUAUUUCACAUCUUGGAUUUUAGAUUUCUGAACAAGGAAUUUGUUUGGAUGCAUGAGGUAAAAGUGGAGCUCCUCUACGACACUGCACCCCCUGAAAUGCACUUUGUGAACCGCAGGCUCUGAAAUCACUGACUUCACCGCCGACUUCUCACUUAAAGGUCUGCAUAAAUCUCGGCCAGCCACCCUCUUGCUAAAGGCACAGAGCUUAGCUAAUUGGUGAGCAUUGAUCCCUGCAAUGUGUUGUUCACAGUGGCUAAGUUCAGUGCCCGAGGUGAAAUAGUUGAUUCAACGUCAAGGAUUUGUUCCGGUGGAUGGACAGAGCUUGAUGAUCUCAGAUCAGCUGAAAGACGACGUGAUCGAGGGAGGAAAGGAGGAAAAAGAGGAUAGCAGGGGAUGAAGUGACUUAUAAUGUAGUAUUUGAACUUGUACUGCUUUUCUUGUGGACGAAAGACAACUUUUGUAAUUUAGAUAAUCAUAAUCUCGUAAAUCUACCUAACCUGUUUGACUUAUAUAUAAUAAUGAUAAAA